rnacentral:lncRNA from 1 species
AUGUUCAAUGUUCAGACAACACCCAACAACUCCUCACAAACCCUAGCCACUCCUUUCUCUCACAAGUUGAAGAACACGAGCUCAAGGUUGGAGACGCCAAGACGGGUACUUUAAAAUGGAAAAAGAAGAUGUCAAUAUUUCUAUAAAUAUUGACAAUGGUAAUAAUGUGGAGCAUGUCGAUAUCAUUGAUGAUGAUGACAUGGGUGAGGCUGAGACAGAUGAUGUUGUGGAUUUGGAACAGACUGGUGAUAACAACAAAAAAAGGGGACGCAAGCAGUCCAUUGUGUGGGAUCACUUUAACAAACCGACUUCAGUUCCACCUGAAGGUGCUCGUACCACAUGUAAGCAUUGUAAGAAAUCCUAUGUUUAUGAACCAAGUAGGAAUGGUACUAGCACUUUGUUGACUCACUUGAAAAGAUUAUGCAAGUUUAAUCCUCUUAAAUGUCAAAAAGAUGAAAAGCAAAAAACUUUGAGUUUUCAAGGAAAUGGGAGUGGUGCUAAAUUAAUGUGUGGUCGUUUUACAAAAGAAUGUUGUGAGAUAUGUUAGAUCUUCGCCAUCUAGGUUGGAUAAGUUUAAUGAAUGUGUAAAGAUAGAAAAGUUGGAUGUUAGUGGAACUGUUUGUUUGGAUGUUACUACUAGGUGGAAUUCGACUUACUUAAUGUUGGAGUCAGCUUUGAAAUACAGAAAAGCAUUUAAUCGGUUAGAAGAAGAUGGCCAAUAUGCUAGGUAUUUUAGUGUGGGUCCUAGUAGCUUGUUUGAUGAAGAAGAUGCAAAGAAAAAGUAUGAUGUGAUUAAAAUUGGCCCCCUAGUGAUAGUGAUUGGGAUAUUGCAAACUCUUUCAUGACCUUUCUUAAGGUUUUUUAUGAAGUGACAAAUCGAUUUUCAGGGUCUUUGUAUGUAACUUCAAGUGCAUACUUUCAUGAUAUGUGUUUAAUGCAUACCCACAUUGAUGAAUGCAUUGGAAAUGAUGAUGAAAGGUUGAGUCAUAUGGCAAUAAACAUGAGGUUGAAGUAUAACAAAUAUUGGGGAGAUGUUGAGAAGAUGAAUCCUUUAUUGUACAUUGCUGUUGCACUUGAUCCUCGCUACAAGUUAAGUUAUGUCAAUUGGAGUUUGGAUGAUAUGUACCCAACUGGUAAUCUUGCAACCAACUUGAAGAAGAAAGUUGAAGAGACUUUGACUAAACUUUAUGACUUUUAUUGUUCAAAAGAUCUUAAGCAUGGCAAAAGUUGUACCUCAAAGAAGAGUCAUAAUUUGGGUGGGAUUAGUGAGAGUCUUAGCAUACAAGAGAGACGUAUGCUAAAAUAUAAGUCACAUUUGGAAGCUGGAACAACGAGUGAAUUAAGUGAGCUAGAUCGAUAUUUGAAAGAUAAUAAAGAGCCAAUGUAUGAGUCAUUUGACUUAUUACAUUGGUGGAAGAUAAAUGGAGAAAAAUAUAAGAUUUUAGCAAAAGUUGCAAGAGAUGUUUUGGCUGUUCCAGUUUCUACAGUUGCUUCGGAGUCUGCGUUUAGCACGGGAGGUCGGAUUUUGGAUCCAUUUAGGAGUAGCCUUUCUCCUAAAACAGUGCAAGCACUUGUAUGCACACAAAAUUGGAUCCGGGCUGACUUUAAAAAACAAGCAAGUGUUGAAUACAAAGAUAUGUUGAAAGAAAUUGAAGAGAUCGAAGAAAUUGAAAAAUGUUUUGCAAGCAAGCUUAAUAUUUGCACGGAUCAUAUCGAUUGAUAGUUGGAAGUUGGAUGAAAUCAUAAGUAUGGGCAACAAUUUUUGUACAGCAUCCACAACAGCAGCCAAGACCUGUAUUUUGAUGUAUGUAGGCAUGUUUUGUUGAUGUAACAGCAGCCAACAGUCCAGCAACUAUAUUUUGAUGUCUUUGGGCAUUUGUGUUUUUGAUGAAUUUGCCUAUUUGGACUGCUUUUUGUGCUAAGUGUAAUUUGUGGAUGGCUAGUUAUUUUAAAUAGGUUAAUGUAACAUUCUAACUCACUAUUAUGAUAAUAUAAUUUGUAUGGUUUAU